GAGAGAAAGAGAAGCAGAGAGGUCACGACGCAGAACUUGAUUCUGGAGCCAGAGCUGGGGCAUCUUUUCCUGGGGUCUCCAGGUUGUGGUCAUGGACAGAGGCUGGAAAGGGGAAGGAGCCACCAACUGGGAACAACCCAUAGGCCCGACAGGUCCAGAACGGGCAUCCACACCACAGAAUUCAUGCUGCAACGGGAAUGAAUAAGACGAGUGCUACGCGCAACAACACGGGUGACUGUCGCAAACACCAUGUUGCAGGAAGGACAUGAUGGAUAAGAGAGUAAACACGAUUAGGAGAUUGAAGCUCAGAGACUUGUUGGAGAUCACAGCGGCACUGGGACACUUGGACCUAGAGCUUUUCUCCCUUCCGAGUCAGUGCAUGAUGCCAGAGAACAUCC